AAAAGGUGGCUAUGCUACCGCUUUUGGAUGGGCCCGCGGCGCAUUAGCUAGUUGGUGGGGUAAAGGCUUACCAAGGCAAUGAUGCGUAGCCGAACUGAGAGGUUGAUCGGCCACAUUGGGACUGAGACACGGCCCAAACUCCUACGGGAGGCAGCAGUAGGGAAUCUUCCACAAUGGGCGAAAGCCUGAUGGAGCAACGCCGCGUGGGUGAAGAGGGUCUUCGGAUCGUAAAACCCUGUUGUUAGAGAAGAAAGUGCGUGAGAGUAACUGUUCACGUUUCGACGGUAUCUAACCAGAAAGCCACGGCUAACUACGUGCCAGCAGCCGCGGUAAUACGUAGGUGGCAAGCGUUAUCCGGAUUUAUUGGGCGUAAAGGGAACGCAGGCGGUCUUUUAAGUCUGAUGUGAAAGCCUUCGGCUUAACCGGAGUAGUGCAUUGGAAACUGGGAGACUUGAGUGCAGAAGAGGAGAGUGGAACUCCAUGUGUAGCGGUGAAAUGCGUAGAUAUAUGGAAGAACACCAGUGGCGAAAGCGGCUCUCUGGUCUGUAACUGACGCUGAGGUUCGAAAGCGUGGGUAGCAAACAGGAUUAGAUACCCUGGUAGUCCACGCCGUAAACGAUGAAUGCUAAGUGUUGGAGGGUUUCCGC
rnacentral:rRNA from 1 species